ACUAUACUGUAAUUGCUUAGUAUCUCCGCAGAAUCAUAUUUUACAGUUUAAAGCAAUUAAAAAAAUGUAUUUAUUCUAAAUUUAUAUAACUUUUUAAUAAAAUACUAAUAUGUAAGAAAUUAAAAGUAGAUUAUCUGCUCUAAUGUUUGUUUUUUCAAACAUUAUCUAGCAGGUGUGUGGCCAGUGGGAUUUCCCGAAAUUUAUUUUUGUUGUCCUCUGAUGCACAAGGUUUAAAACGCCUUCUCUAAAGGAAAGUAACUUAAAAAUUCAUACUUAUUAUUUUUUGUUUGUUUUACUCUGGCUAAAUAUGUAUAUAUAUUCUCCAAAAUGUAAUUUUUACCCUAAUUACUUUAAAUAUCCAUUGAAUUAUCGCCAACUUAGCGAUAAAUUAAUAGUCGCGUCGUCAGACUUAUUGUGGUGAUGUAAGAGUAAGUUUGUUAAAUAGGUUUGUCAACAAAAGCAUUUUCACGUCGUUUGAAAUCAAAUUUAUUACGUUUUUAAUGCAAAAAUAUAAGUAUCUCUAUAUCCAAAGCGAAGUAGACAAAUUUUUUUUUCGAAUCUUUAUUCUACACCAGAAAAUAUUUAUGAAUAUAAAAAAUUGAAUGCUUUUAGUGAGUGACAGUUGGAAUAUCUUCGAUUAGUCUUUUACUUCUUGUUGCUUUUCAAUUGGACAAGGUCCUUAUGAGUCUCCUCGACAGUAUUAAAUAAUCCUUACGCCAAACACUCUGAGAGUUUCAGGCAUGCAAGGUUCUGGCAUUUUGUUUUGUUUUCUGUUAUGCAGUGAUAACAGCAAGCUUAUUUGAUGAAAAUAUGUUUUAAUGUCAAGAGCCUGAGGGAUUGAAACUUCUUCCAAAGGUCUUGCAUUGCUCUAAAUCUUAAAAGUAGCUUCCCGUUCAAGACAUGUAAUAAGUAAAUUUGUCAACUAUGUAUUCACUAGUACUAUUUGUACACAAUUUCAAAAGUUUAAGCAUAAGCAAAAAUUUUUUAUAACUAGAGAAAUGUUGACAAAAAGACAUUUUCUUCUGAUGUAAUUAAAAACAGAAAAUAAAUAAUUGUCUGAAAGUAUUUAUUUUAUCAUGACUUUGAUAAAUAAAAUUAAAAAAAAUAAUAAUAGACUCUCUCAAAAGUUUAAAAACUAGAGUAACACCAGACUCGUCAGGCAUUAUUUCUAGGCCACCUUGUUCUACAGAUAUAGAAUCAUUUAAUUGAAAUUGCAUUUUGAUUGACAUAAGCUUACAUAGCCAAUUCCUAGACUGUGACUCAAAACCCAUGGUCCAAUUGACUUGUAUUCCUAACUGAAAGGCCAAUGGAUUUUCCUUAAUUAGUUACUAAAGAUGGACAGUGGAUUUUUUUAAAAAUCUUUACAUAGCAGAUAAAAUAAUACACAUUGGGGGACUGCUUAUAAUCUGCUAUGUACUGUAUUUAUAGGGCUGCUUAUCAUUACUUUCACCAAUUUUAUUUUAAAAAUACUAUUUUUCUUCUAUUACUGCUGACCGCAUAGCCCUUUAGUUCCUGAUUUUAUUUAAAUGAACUAGAGUUGCAAUUAUUUACAUAUAUUUUUUUUUCAGGUUUAAUGUAAUUUUCCAGUCUCUCUUUUUUUCUGCAGUUCAAAGAACUUCCAAAGAAUAUUUUUCCUUAAGCAUUUUUGUUGUUGUUGAGAGAUUUAUAAAAUCUUAAAUUUUUAUAGGUUUAUUAGGUUCCUAUCUAACUUGUUUCCACCUUCUAGAACUUUCUAUUAACCUCCAACUAAGAUUUUUAAAUUUUGAAAUUUAUAUUGAACUCAGUAUGCUUGGGUCACUAGAAGUUAAAUGGGUUUGUUUGGAACAACCUCACAGGUCGGUUCUUCCACAACCUUCUGUUAGCAUAAAUUGUAGUUUGUUUGGUAAAAGCCGUUAGCUUACAAAAGUAUUCAAAAUUGG
rnacentral:lncRNA from 1 species